GAUGAACGCUAGCUACAGGCUUAACACAUGCAAGUCGAGGGGUAGCAGGGUAGCAAUACCGCUGACGACCGGCGCACGGGUGAGUAACACGUAUCCAACCUUCCCAUAACUCGGGGAUAGCCUUUCGAAAGAAAGAUUAAUACCCGAUAGUACUUUUUCAAGGCAUCUUGAGAAAGUUAAAGAUUUAUUGGUUAUGGAUGGGGAUGCGUUCCAUUAGAUAGUUGGUGAGGUAACGGCUCACCAAGUCUUCGAUGGAUAGGGGUUCUGAGAGGAAGGUCCCCCACAUUGGUACUGAGACACGGACCAAACUCCUACGGGAGGCAGCCGUGAGGAAUAUUGGUCAAUGGGCGAGAGCCUGAACCAGCCAAGUAGCGUGAAGGAUGAAGGUCCUAUGGAUUGUAAACUUCUUUUAUAGUAGAAUAAAGUGAUCCACGUGUGGAUUUUUGUAUGUAUACUAUGAAUAAGGAUCGGCUAACUCCGUGCCAGCCGCCGCAGUAAAAC
rnacentral:rRNA from 1 species